UACGAGAGGCGCAAACGUUAUUCGGAUUUACUGGGCUUAAAGAGCGCGUAGGCGGUCCGAUAAGUCGGCUGUGAAAGUCAGGGGCUCAACCCUUGGAAGCCGGCCGAUACUGUCGGACUAGAGUACGGAAGAGGCGAGUGGAAUUCCUGGUGUAGCGGUGAAAUGCGCAGAUAUCAGGAGGAACACCAAUUGCGAAGGCAGCUCGCUGGGACGUUACUGACGCUGAGACGCGAAAGCGUGGGGAGCAAACAGG
rnacentral:rRNA from 1 species